AUUUUUGGGGCGAACGUCCGUGAGAAAAAUUUGAAACGAUGGUGAGCUCUCAAAAUUUCCCUCUCUAGGGUUUUGGAAGAGGGUUCACCGUUUCGCACUCCCAAAUCAAGUUUAUGAACUGAACCAGUUUCAAGUAAGUGAAGUGGCUUAUCACUCCCACGAAGCAAUUGCAGAAUCAAAAUGGCGUUUUCUCUCUUUUCAACUCCACAACCGCAGCAGCCUCAGCAGUUAUUUCAAUCACAACCGCAACUUUUUCAGCAGAGCAGCCCGUUGUUCUCGCAGCAGCAACCCCAGCAAUUUCAACUGCAACAGCAGCAGCAGCAGCAGCAGCAACAACAACAACAGCAACAGCAGCAGCAGCAGCAGCAGUUAAUGCAGCAACAGCAACAGCAACAGCAGCAGUUGUUCAUUUUUACUAAUGAUAAGGCUCCUGCAAGUUAUGGUACUAAGUGGGCAGAUCUCCAUCCGGAUUCGCAGAAAAUUCUCCUUCAAAUCGAGGAACGCAUCUUGGAGUAUCGUGAUGAAAGUCAGAGACUGGAUCAAUGUAGUCGUCUCUACGAUUCUUCAGUUUCUAACGAUGGAUUUGAGUUUGAUGCAAGUCGAAUUGUUCAGGAACUUGGGGGAAUUAGUGCGUCUACUGAACAUCAAAAAGUAAUGCUUCAAGAACUGAUGGCUGCUGCAAAAGAGAUGCUUUGGAAUACAGAAGUUGCUAUUCGCUCUUUCAUGAUGAUACGUCCAAGGUUCCUUCAUCAGAGUGCAGGAGGUGCUUCAAAUCCCACUGCUCCGUCACAGGUUCCUGGAGCAACAACGCCAUUAGGAUCUAGUGGUCAACCAACAUCUACCUCGAUUGCUCCAGUUUUUGAUUUCUACAGUGGGCUCCCAAGAAAACCAUCUCCCUUUUUGCAGCAAACUGUUUCAAGAUUUGAGAAGUAUCUUGCUGAAUGUCGCCAGUGGAUUGAAGACUUAGAGCAGCUCCUUGUUCUAGAUUCUAAUAGGAGUGCUUCCAAUUCUAGUUCCUCACUGUUCCAAUCACUACCUAAAAUCAUGUCAAAUGUGCACGAAUUCUUUGUUCAUGUGGCUUCCAAGGUUGAGAGCAUUCAUCAGUACAUUGAAUCAAUGAAGUCAGCUUAUCUUGCCGACCAGCGUCGCAGAGGGGAUGGAAACAAUCCGUUUCUUGAGGCUGAUCGAAGGGAAACUGCACGCCAAGAAGCGGCAGCUAAGAGGGCACAUCCAACUUUACAUUUGCCCACAAAUUCACAACCAUCAACUCAAGCUACUGGAUUACUUGCCAACUCAGGUAACCACGGUGCAUCAACAGUACAACAAUCAUCUACAGUAGCUACACCAGCUUCUUCUGGGGGUGGAUUAUCACUUUUUAGCACUCCCUCUGCUCCAUCCACUACAACAUCUUCUCUUUUCAUGACACCAACAGCAUCUGUUCAAACAUCCUCUCUCUUUGGUUCUUCCAGUGUGGCAGCUCCCUCAACCCUUUUUGGCUCGUCAUCUGCACCAUUGUUUAGUUCUGCUAGUACUCCCUUUGGCAGUACUGCUCCAUCUUUUGGGCAAUCUGCUUCUGCAGGAAGUUCAUUAUUUUCGACACCCUUUGCUUCAGGAAUAAGUUAAAUGAUUUGACAUGGUUUCAAUCUCUGAUGAGAAGACAUUAUUACUACCAAGAACAUGACUGAUUUGAGUUUUUGAUUGACCUGACGUAGAAGGAAUAUAACUCUUACUGGAUGUUAAUUGGCGCUGCAACAGGAUCUGGGGCUAGCUUUGGGGCAACUUCGAAAUCGUCAAAGCCAAAGUCCCGAACUGCACGGCGCUACUAAUCACAAGUGACCAUGUAAGACUAUUACCAGCCACAUUUAAUAACUGAUGAAAAAAGUAGCCAAAGAUUAUGAGAAACAUCAGUACAUCUUCGAGGAGAGGCCAUCAGAUGAUUUACUGGCAGUGAAAAGCCUAGAGGUAUCGGAAUCUUUCUAGUAAGAAAAUUGGAAGGCUUUUCUCAAAACGUCCACCAUUGCUCGUUGCUUUCUGAAAGAGAUCGGAAGGCGACCUGAGAAUUUUCUGUAACUCUGUAGAAUACAGCAUAGAUGCGAUCAAUUCUUAUGAAAACUCAAAGAACAAGACUUGUUUUUUCUUGUGAUGCAAUUGAUUCGAGGGAUGCUAACGCAAUAUAUCUUCCUAAUCUCACGCCAUUCUUGGCAUUUUUAGUGGCCUGCUGUACAGAAUACUUGACUUGCGGUUUCAGGAAACAAGAAUAUGCCCAAGUGGAAUUCUCUUACAUUCCAAAGAUGGAGUAUCUAUCGAAUAUUCUUCUUGGACCGACCUCUGGCUGUGGCUGCUUCACAGCGGCCGUCAGGAUUGACAAGUUAUACCUCUUAGUUGGUUUAUAUAUCAACGUAUCUCUACAGCAUGUUUUAACUUUAUUUACUUCAAUUACUCACAUAUGCAUUACUUGUGUAAUUUGUGUACUGAAAUUACUAGUAGUGAGUUUUCGACCCUUUUUCACUCUAUUUAUAUUUUCAUUUGGUGUCAUGUUUCCAUUGAAAUGCCAUUUUGUAAUUCAUCUGUAAGGUAUUUGGGUGAUUUUCAUCCCUGUGAUUUGACCCUGCCACAUUUACGGGGAUUUCUAUUUCUAGUC